rnacentral:rRNA from 1 species
AGUAACACAUCGGAACGUGUCUUCUAGUGGGGGAUAACUGCCCGAAAGGGCAGCUAAUACCGCAUGAGACCUGAGGGUGAAAGCGGGGGAUCGCAAGACCUCGCGCUGGAAGAGCGGCAGAUGUCCGAUUAGCUAGUUGGUGAGGUAAAGGCUCACCAAGGCGACGAUCGGUAGCUGGUCUGAGAGGACGACCAGCCACACUGGGACUGAGACACGGCCCAG